GACAGAGGGUGCAAACGUUGUUCGGAAUUACUGGGCGUAAAGCGCGUGUAGGCGGCCCGGAAAGUCGGAUGUGAAAGCCCUGGGCUUAACCUAGGAAGUGCAUUCGAAACUCCCGUGGCUUGAGUUCUGGAGAGGGAAGCGGAAUUCUCGGUGUAGAGGUGAAAUUCGUAGAUAUCGAGAGGAACACCGGUGGCGAAGGCGGCUUCCUGGACGGUGACUGACGCUGAGGCACGAAGGUCAGGGGAGCAAACGGG
rnacentral:rRNA from 1 species